CUUAUCUUACUUUUUCUUCUUUUUGAAACAUUUAUUAAUAUUAAAUCUCAUACAACUUUUGUGAAUCUAGAAAGCUAAUUUUGCAUGUAAAUUUUAAAAUUAUUUUGUUAGAUUCCCUCAGUUUGAGAUGUUCUUAACCUGGGACCUUAUGGAUAGAAUUCAGAGGAUCCAUAAACUUGGAUUGGAGGUUACUAACUUCUGAUAAAUUGAGCAUUUUUUUUUUUCCAUUGUUAGUGUUGGCAACAAAUACAUAAUAUCAUCA
rnacentral:lncRNA from 1 species